CCGGUCCUGGGUGGGUGCCCGCCUGCUGCUGCAGCCCGGGCUCCGGAUUGCGGUGGUUUCCUUGCGUUGCCCCUUCACUCCCCCACUGCCCGGUCGUGGCUCGCAGUGGGAGCGGGCGGCGGGGCCGCCGGAGGAGGCAGCGAGCAGACGGGAGCCCCGCGGGCCGGGAGCGGGCGGAGGCGGAGGUGGCAGCGCGACCCCUCUCCCGCCCUCUGGGCUCGGCUGGAGCCAGUGCCUUUCAUCCGGGAAGGGGCGAGGCUCAGGCCAGGAGUCACCUGGAAUGGGGGGAGCUGUGUGCCUGGGGGGAAAAUCCUGCUUCCCCUCAUGGAUGACCCCCUUUUCUUGAUUCUUCUUCCUUCAGAAGAUGGUUUGACUAAGAAAUGCUGCCUAGGAAAAGCCCUCAUGCUUUCAGGUGGCAGUGUAGAAGCCAAGAACAAAAGUUGGCAGAAAUUAUUUUUCUCUCCGUGAGAAAAUGAAGAGAGUGUACACAUGACUAAGCACAGGAACCUGAAAUACCACAGGAAGUGCUGAUAAUUCCUUAGUUUGGAGAGUGACUGAAAAAAAAUCAUUCAUACAGUCUGCAAAGGCACUUUUAAUAUUAGAUUAGUCUAGCUGUGAUGAAGGAUUGUACAUUAACAGGAGCUGCAGCAGCCUGUCACCAGGAAAUACUGCUUUAUUCAGAAUGGGUGACAUCAAAGAAAUGCCAUGGAGCAGUCAACCCAGAACUCAUAGUUGCCCAUCAAUCGCUCAGUAGUCAGUGUAGAUUCUGUUUUUACAAUCAGCAGCUACAUCUGGCUACUGGGUCUCUGAUGACAUCUUGUAGCUUCCACGUGGUUUUCUGAAGAUUAUUUGUCACUCUAUGAUGAGUGAUCUUUGUGGCUCCAAGAUACAAAAUAAAUAAUGAGUUAUCCAUUGGAAAUGAUAAAUAUUUAAUAAGGACUCAAAUAUUUGUUACAUACAGUUUACAGUUUGGAUUUGUUAGAAAAUCUUGGGGAGGUAGAGAGGGGUUGGGUUGGUUUGGUUUGGUUUGGUUUGGUUUUAAGGAAAGUGUCACUAUUUUCUCCAGCAUGUAGUCAUGUGGCCUAUAAUAUAAAUAUAGUUCUCUACUGUUCCAAAACCUCUGGCUAAGGAAGGAAGUGUAAAAAAGACCUACCUGAUGAUUUUUUUGAUUUGGUAUUCUUGAUAAAACACACUUUCUGAUAUGUUAAACUACAGGUUUGGAAGAAUGAGCACCAUAAGCAGUAGUGUGUGCUUUCGGAGCCAUUUGGAGAAGUGUAAGGAUCAGACACUAGAAGACUCUCCGGGUUUGGGGCGUGAACCUGGCAUACAAUGUAGAUUUCUGUAUUUCUUAAGCAACAGCUACAUUGUCUGCUGGGUUUCAAGCUGCCUGGAAAUUCAAAACAAAAUGGUAUCCUACUUAUCCUAUAGGACAAGUAUUACAUGUAGUAUACCAGCCCAUUGACUCUACUUACUGCAAUCUGAGAGGAGAGUUAGUUAAUGUGUUGGCACACUAGACUUUUACUUCUGUAACUGAAUUUCUCAAACUGCAUCAAAAGUGAAAACAAAUGUUAUCUUCACCUGUGCACAUGCACAUACAGCAAAAUGAUGCAGUGACUGUAAGCUUCAGUUUGAGUAGCUGAAGAAGAGUUCUAGAAUAGCAGAAGGCUAUUAUGGAUCAGGCUUGAAAAGGGCAACGACAGCUGUGUGGGGAAGUUUGCACAGCAUGUGCUAAAUACUCUGUGCCUGAUUCCAGUUUGUGGUGUUAAACUCUCAGAGACAACUUACAGUGCAUGUGCACCUUAACUAUUGGAAAUGUUGAGAGUCAUCAUUGAUAAGAUCAUUCUCAAACUUUAAUUUGCCUUUGAUUACACUGUGCUAGUCAUGGACUUCUGGUUUGUGAUAGUGGAUGACAGUUCUGUAGGGAGGUAGUCUCUCUGAUCAAGAACCUUAGGCAUUAUUAAUUUAGUACUAUAUACUUAUACCAAUUACAGGAGGCAUAUCAAAGAUUCUACUACUUGAGUACAAUAAUGUAAGAGGUAGAAGGGAUCUGUAAAUAUAAUGUGACAGCAAAUUAUGCCUUAAACUUCAAAUAAAGCUGCUAAUUAAAC